rnacentral:rRNA from 1 species
CACGUAGGGCGCAAGCGUUGUCCGGAAUUAUUGGGCGUAAAGAGCUCGUAGGCGGUCUGUUGCGUCCGCUGUGAAAACUCGGGGCUUAACCCCGAGCCUGCAGUGGAUACGGGCAGACUAGAGUUCGGUAGGGGAGACUGGAAUUCCUGGUGUAGCGGUGAAAUGCGCAGAUAUCAGGAGGAACACCGGUGGCGAAGGCGGGUCUCUGGGCCGAUACUGACGCUGAGGAGCGAAAGCGUGGGGAGCGAACAGG